AACCUAAUUUACAUUAAAUGCAUCUUCUGCUGUUUUUACAGAUUUUGGGGCUGUUUCAGCAGUUCUGUUAUUGCUAUUUUGACCAGUGAAAGAAUUUCCCUCCAGAAUCAGGCAUUUUCUUGCGAGACAGAGGAGGUAAUUAGACUGGAAACAGGAUUUCAAGCACCUGCUUGAAUUUAAGAUGCAUGGUGUGCAAAGAAAAC